rnacentral:rRNA from 1 species
GACAGAGGGUGCGAACGUUGUUCGGAAUUACUGGGCGUAAAGCGCACGUAGGCGGCUUUGUAAGUUAGAGGUGAAAGCCCAGGGCUUAACCCUGGAAUUGCCUUUAAGACUGCAUCGCUAGAAUCGUGGAGAGGUGAGUGGAAUUCCGAGUGUAGAGGUGAAAUGCGCAGAUAUCGGGAAGAACACCCGUGGCGAAGGCGGUUCUCUGGGACGGUACUGACGCUGAGACGCGAAAGCGUGGGGAGCGAACAGG